rfam:Microdochium bolleyi strain J235TASD1 unplaced genomic scaffold Micbo1qcscaffold_2, whole genome shotgun sequence.
GUUUCGGUAGCUCAGUGGUAGAGCGUGGGAUUGCAGUGCCUCAUUCGAGACUCGCUACAUAUCCUAAGGUCACGUGUUCGAUCCACGUUCGGAACU